UGGGGAAUCUUCCGCAAUGGACGAAAGUCUGACGGAGCAACGCCGCGUGAGUGAUGAAGGCCUUCGGGUUGUAAAACUCUGUUGUCAGGGACGAACGUGCCGAUCUACAAUACAUUUCGGCAGUGACGGUACCUGACGAGGAAGCCACGGCUAACUACGUGCCGGCAGCCGCGGUAAUACGUAGGCGGCAAGCGUUGUCCGGAAUUAUUGGGCGCAAAGAGCAUGUAGGCGGGCUUUUAAGUCCGACGUGAAAAUGCGGGGCUUAACCCCGUAUGGCGUUGGAAACUGGGAGUCUUGAGUGCAGGAGAGGAAAGGGGAAUUCCCAGUGUAGCGGUGAAAUGCGUAGAUAUUGGGGAGGAAC
rnacentral:rRNA from 1 species